CUCAAUUGGAAAGAGGAGUGGCGGACGGGUAAGUAACACGUGGGUAACCUACCCAUCAGAGGGGGAUAACACUUGGAAACAGGUGCUAAUACCGCAUAACAGUUUAUGCCGCAUGGCAUAAGAGUGAAAGGCGCUUUCGGGUGUCGCUGAUGGAUGGACCCGCGGUGCAUUAGCUAGUUGGUGAGGUAACGGCUCACCAAGGCCACGAUGCAUAGCCGACCUGAGAGGGUGAUCGGCCACACUGGGACUGAGACACGGCCCAGACUCCUACGGGAGGCAGCAGUAGGGAAUCUUCGGCAAUGGACGAAAGUCUGACCGAGCAACGCCGCGUGAGUGAAGAAGGUUUUCGGAUCGUAAAACUCUGUUGUUAGAGAAGAACAAGGACGUUAGUAACUGAACGUCCCCUGACGGUAUCUAACCAGAAAGCCACGGCUAACUACGUGCCAGCAGCCGCGGUAAUACGUAGGUGGCAAGCGUUGUCCGGAUUUAUUGGGCGUAAAGCGAGCGCAGGCGGUUUCUUAAGUCUGAUGUGAAAGCCCCCGGCUCAACCGGGGAGGGUCAUUGGAAACUGGGAGACUUGAGUGCAGAAGAGGAGAGUGGAAUUCCAUGUGUAGCGGUGAAAUGCGUAGAUAUAUGGAGGAACAC
rnacentral:rRNA from 1 species